CGCUGGAAUAUUUUAAAAAUCUUUUACAUCAUAAUGUUAUUCUUAACACCUUUUUUGUACUAUGGUAUAUUUUCUCAUUAUUAAUAUUUUUGAUACCUUUAUCGCUAGAAUAUUUUUUAAAUGUUUUAUAUUUGAGCAAUAUUAGCAUAAUAAGCAUUGUUUAUGGACGUUGGCCUUAUACUCAUCCUACGUGAUGAGUUGGCGUGAGCACUGCUCCACUGAGCAGUGAGUGGGUACCACAAUGGAGAAAAAGAUCAGCAAUGGACUCCACAUCCUCAGCACGACCAGUCGGCACAGGUACAACGGGCAACACUGGCCCACCGCAUAGAAAGCAGCAACCAAGUAGCCACGAACUAUCACAUCUUGCGUGGAUUGGCAUAUUUCCUCUCCUGAUGUUGUUUAACUGCAGAGACUCAAACCCAAAUAUCCCUCUAUAGAAGGAUUCUUCUGCUCUCACUGGAUUGUCUCCUCAUUGGACCUAACAACACUCAGCCAUAAGUAUGCUUGAAACAACUGCAUCAUACAUCUUUACCUGAACACCUAAUGCCACAGACCCUUAACGAAGACUUUAUGGAUUGGAGCAUGAGCACUUUAAAGCGAUGUAAAAUUAUGGAGGAGCUACAAAGCUUAUAAAGUGCUUCAAUGUUACCAAUCAGAGCAGUAGUGGAACCAUUCCGAGGAGCUUGUAAUACCAUGCACAGCCUGCUCAUCAUCAGCCCAGGUGUCACUCCUGGGCACGUGGGGCUUCCAGCAUUCCUGCCCAGAGACUCUCCAUCACGAAAAGCAGAGGAGCCACUGCUGAGGAGCCGGGAGAGUUUCGGCAGUGCUGGCAAGCUCAAAAGCAGGCUUCCCGGAAGGGACUGCAAAAAGUCUGUG